rnacentral:rRNA from 1 species
AUUGAACGCUGGCGGCAUGCCUAACACAUGCAAGUCGAGGGGCAGCACGUCUUCGGAUGGUGGCGACCGGCGCACGGGUGCGUAACGCGUAUGCAACCUACCUCUUACAGUGGGAUAGCCCAGAGAAAUUUGGAUUAAUACCGCAUAGUAUACAGAUUCAGCAUUGGGACUGUAUUAAACAUUUAUGGGUAAGAGAUGGGCAUGCGUUCUAUUAGUUAGUUGGAGUGGUAACGGCACCCCAAGACAGCGAUAGAUAGGGGCCCUGAGAGGGGGAUCCCCCGACACUGGUACUGAGACACGGACCAGACUCCUACGGGAGGCAGCAGUGAGGAAUAUUGGACAAUGGGCGAGAGCCUGAUCCAGCCAUGCCGCGUGCAGGAAGACGGCCCUAGU